CUCCUCGGCGCCCCUUUCCCGCUCAGGUCCGGGAGCCCGCGUGUCGGGCCGUCAGUCGGUCCUCAAGCCGCGCCGAGGGACAUGGCCUUCAUUUGGAGAAGUUGUUUGCUUUUCUGAGCCUUUCAGACUGCUGCUUCAGAGUCCCUGGAGGAGGCCUGGUGUCUCCUGGAAUGAUCAGGGAAGUCAGCUUAAGUGAGUUAGGUCAAGCUUGGCCGGCUCGCAGUUGUGUCCUGGAGUGGGGAGCCGGGAAGACAGAGCAGGUUCCUGAUCAGCCAAGGCAGGGUGGGGGACAUCGCCCCACAGGGUUAUAGGCAGUCACCGAGCCCUCCAGCAUCCCACUUCUUCCUCUAGUAGGUAUCUUCUCCCUCCUUGGUACUUGUGAAUUCCCCUUAAACUCCUGGUUUCCAGGAUCUAGUCUGACCUAAUAUAUCCCACGAUACCCAGAUAUCACUGGGUAAAAUUCAGCUGUUCACUGUGCUGCUUUAUCAUACUGAACAGAGAUUGACUAGGACAUACAUAAUUCAUUUGGUUGGCAAAAUACUUAGGAUCUUCUGAAAAGAUGUAGAUUGCUCCCCUCUCAGCUUUAACUGCAAAUGCUCAAUAAAAACUCACAGUAUUUUUCAGUAUGGAAA